rnacentral:rRNA from 1 species
AACGAACGCUGGCGGCAGGCUUAACACAUGCAAGUCGAGCGCCCCGCAAGGGGAGCGGCAGACGGGUGAGUAACGCGUGGGAAUCUACCCAUCUCUACGGAAUAACGCAUGGAAACGUGUGCUAAUACCGUAUACGUCCUUCGGGAGAAAGAUUCAUCGGAGAUGGAUGAGCCCGCGUUGGAUUAGCUAGUUGGUGGGGUAAAGGCCUACCAAGGCGACGAUCCAUAGCUGGUCUGAGAGGAUGAUCAGCCACACUGGGACUGAGACACGGCCCAGACUCCUACGGGAGGCAGCAGUGGGGAAUAUUGGACAAUGGGCGCAAGCCUGAUCCAGCCAUGCCGCGUGAGUGAUGAAGGCCCUAGGGUUGUAAAGCUCUUUCACAGGUGAAGAUAAUGACGGUAACCGGAGAAGAAGCCCCGGCUAACUUCGUGCCAGCCGCCGCCGUAAAAC